rnacentral:rRNA from 1 species
AGUGAACGCUGGCGGUAGGCCUAACACAUGCCAGUCGAACGGCAGCACAGUAAGAGCUUGCUCUUACGGGUGGCGAGUGGCGGACGGGUGAGGAAUAAAUCGGAAUCUACUUUUUCGUGGGGGAUAACGUAGGGAAACUUACGCUAAUACCGCAUACGACCUACGGGUGAAAGCAGGGGAUCUUCGGACCUUGCGCGAUUGAAUGGGCCGAUGUCGGAUUAGCUAGUUGGCGGGGUAAAGGCCCACCAAGGCGACGAUCCGUAGCUGGUCUGAGAGGAUGAUCAGCCACACUGGAACUGAGACACGGUCCAGACUCCUACGGGAGGCAGCAGUGGGGAAUAUUGGACAAUGGGCGCAAGCCUGAUCCAGCCAUACCGCGUGGGUGAAGAAGGCCUUCGGGUUGUAAAGCCCUUUUGUUGGGAAAGAAAAGCAGCAGGUUAAUACCCCGCUGUUCUGACGGUACCCAAAGAAUAAGCACCGGCUAACUUCGUG